rnacentral:rRNA from 1 species
UAUCCAUUUACCUGAAUGUGCCCAAUCUCAUCUAAUCUGGGAAAGUAAGCAGGAUUGGGCUUGGUUAGUACUCAGAUGGCAGAUCACCUUAUUUUUUGAGGCAGGAUAU